GUGUUCACUUCGGCAGCACACAUACUAAAAUUUGAACAAUACAGAGAUUAUCAUGGCCCUGGCAUUAAUGAUGACACACAAAUUCAUGAAGCAUUCCAUAUUUUA